AGAGUUUGAUCCUGGCUCAGAAUCAACGCUGGCGGCGUGCCUAACACAUGCAAGUCGCACGAGAAAGGGGCUUCGGCUCUGAGUAAAGUGGCGCACGGGUGAGUAACACGUGAAUUAUCUACCUCCGAGUGGGGAAUAACCUAGAGAAAUCUGGGCUAAUACCGCAUAACACUUACGAGUCAAAGCAGCAAUGCGCUUGG
rnacentral:rRNA from 1 species